GAGUGUUGAGAUUCCGGGUUGAAUUAGUUGUGCAAGAUGGAAAAGAUGUAGCGUUUUUCACUGUGUUCGAUAGAGAAAUGACUAAACUACUUAACAUUCGUGCUUCAGAAUCAAUUGAACCAAAUGUGCUUAAUGUCGAUGUGGAAG